CUCUCCUGUGGGACACGAAGUAACUUCUGAUUUCUAAAACAAAAUAGAAAUUAUAUGGGAGAAGAAUAUUGUAAACUGAAUGGAAGCUGAGAGCCGGGGCAUACUGAGUGAAAGAAAAUCAAUCACAAUUCUGUAUUUUCCUUCAAGGUUUAUGAAAUGAGCGUUUUAACUCCCAUGGACAUUUUAGCUCCUGCUCACCUAAAAAUGUUUGAGAGUCUCCACUUGUCCCUUGCUGUUGCAGCGUUGAAGCUUUACGCACGCACACCUACACGUGUUUGUUCAGACACUGGCUUCUCUUCCAGCAGCCUGUGUGGAGAAUUUAUACCCCACUAUUAAAUUAUUCACAGUUCUAAAAGAUAAUGCAGGAAAAAACAGCCCUGUUAGUUAGAGAUGCCUGAAAUGUACUAGUAGUUUAGCUGGGAAGUACAGCGCCAGGCACGUGAGCCCCAGUUUUUCCGUCAGCGCUGCCUUCUCAUCCUUCACUGUUUGCUCCAGUGUCAUCCUCAUUGUUCACCAUUCAGCCUUUCCGAAGGCUGCCAACAAAACAGCUGAAUCAAGAACCUGAGGCUGAAGUGAGAGGAUGAAUUCCAGCUCCGCCGUCCGAGCCGGCCCCCGGUGCUUGAGGUUUGGAAGACUGAAAAUUAAUGAGGCUCUCAGUCAGCUGCCUGCCUGACCUGUCACACAAGGAGAGCCUGACAUGCUUUCUGUAAUUCCUCCUAGGAUGGAAAUGGGCGUUCUUCGUAUUUGCUUUCUCAGUACUUCCUUCAUCAACUAAUCUUUGAAGGUUUGGAGAAGUCAGAAGGUGGGGCUGGACGUUUGCUGGCCUAGAGUCUCUUCCAGAUGCUGCCACUGGCUUGCCAUGCACAACUACAGACACUUUUCUUCUCAUACGAGAACAGCAGGGGUUGAAGAUGGAAGUGAGCCGUGGCUGUUAUCUGGUGGUUUGCAAUCUGCACGUGACAAGCCAGGAGCUUGAUAGGAAAGUGUGAAGUCCUGCAUCAGAGGUUCCUGAGAUGGCAGUGAUACCACUGACCAUGUGCUCGUGUCCGUUCUCAGAGGAAAACUCUCAGCCUGGCCAUCUGGCAUGAUGUUGGAGGAAGUAGCUUCUACAUUAGGGAUGCUGAAGGCUUACAUGUUCAUCUCUGUGUUCUUGUUAGAUCAGGCUAUUUGGGUGUGGAUUUUAUUUUAUUUUGAAGAGAAUAGGAGACGAAUGCAGACCAGAAAAUUCAGGAAAGAUGAUUGAAAGGAUAGAGGAAGGAGGUUUUGCCUUUGGCAACCAGAUUCCCCUCAACCAUUCCUGGAAAACAUUCCUUUCAGCUCCCAAGUUAUUCAUGGCAAAGGGAAGUGAAUGACCAUGAAGAACUGCAGACAGUCCUUAUGAGAUGAAGUAGGCAUUAAAACAGCAAAUGCAAUUCAAUGUAAAUAAAUACGAAGUGAUGCAUGCGAGGAAAAAAACAAUCCUAGUGCCACACAAAAUGCUGUGCUCCGAGCUGCUGGCUAUUGCUGAGGAAUGAGUUGUUGAAGCUAUCACAGAUACAUCUGUGAAAAUGUCAAAUCAGCACUCAACAGUAGCCAAAAAAAGGAAUCCAAAUGCUAGAAAGUGAUGGGAAAGGAACAGACAGCAAAGUGGAGAAGUGUUGUUAUGACAGUGUGCAAGUCUGCGGCCUCCCGUGCUGUAAAUACUGUGCAGUCCUGCUGCCUGAAAAGGACGUAACAGAACUGGAAAUGAACCAGCAAGUGACACCAGCAAUAGAUAAAGGCAUGGCACUGCUUCUGCAUGAGAAAUGACAGAGCUUCUGCAUGCUCCACAGCAGGCCUGUGCCAACGCCACGCUCCUUCUGGAGGCCUCGCUCCUUCUGGAGGCUGCUCUGCUGCGUCUCGCACACCAUUAGUGGUCAGCUGAGAGGUGGCUGGUCUGUGCCAAGACCUGCUUUAGGGAACCAACGAGGCACACUGAGUUUCUAAGAAAAUUACAUUCCUCAUGCCUGAUAAUCAGCAACAAAGACGACACGCUAGAGGAGUCUCCCACCGAAUGACCCAUGGUUGUCUUCAGAAAAUUCAAGGCCUGAUGAUGUGUUUAAGACUUCAACGCAGGACCUCUGAUAUCCCAAGG